rnacentral:rRNA from 1 species
UAAACAGAGGGAAGCAAAGCCGCGAGAUGGAGCAAACCCCCAAAAGCGGUCCCAGUUCGGAUUGUAGGCUGCAACCCGCCUACAUGAAGUUGGAAUUGCUAGUAAUCGCAGAUCAGAAUGCUGCGGUGAAUACGUUCCCGGGCCUUGUACACACCGCCCGUCACACCAUGGGAGCCGGUAAUACCCGAAGUCAGUAGUCUAACCGCAAGGGGGACGCUGCCGAAGGUAGGAUUGGCGACUGGGGUGAAGUCGUAACAAGGUAGC